AGUGAACGCUGGCGGCAGGCCUAACACAUGCAAGUCGAACGGCAGCACAAGAGAGCUUGCUCUCUGGGUGGCGAGUGGCGGACGGGUGAGGAAUGCAUCGGAAUCUGCCCAUUUGUGGGGGAUAACCUCGGGAAACCGGGACUAAUACCGCAUACGACCUACGGGUGAAAGCAGGGGAUCAUCGGACCUUGCGCAGAUGGAUGAGCCGAUGCCGGAUUAGCUAGUUGGAGGGGUAAAGGCCCACCAAGGCGACGAUCCGUAGCUGGUCUGAGAGGAUGAUCAGCCACACUGGGACUGAGACACGGCCCAGACUCCUACGGGAGGCAGCAGUGGGGAAUAUUGGACAAUGGGCGCAAGCCUGAUCCAGCCAUGCCGCGUGUGUGAAGAAGGCCUUCGGGUUGUAAAGCACUUUUGUUGGGAAAGAAAAGCAGCCGGUUAAUACCCGGUUGUCAUGACGGUACCCAAAGAAUAAGCACCGGCUAACUUCGUG
rnacentral:rRNA from 1 species